rnacentral:tRNA from 1 species
GCGGACGUGGCGGAAUUGGCAGACGCGCAGGAUUAAGGAUCCUGUGGGAGUUAAAUCCCGUGUGAGUUCGACUCUCACCGCCCGCA